GAAAAUACAAACCAUUCAAAUAUUUAGUCUCGGUGAAAAUAUGAUAAAAUAAAAUUAAAUUAAAUAAAUGUGAAAAAGUAAAAUGAAAAACCAUGGGUUUCCUCCCACGCAGCGCUUGUUUAACGUCAUUAGCUUGACGAUCAGAAUUUAUACACCUGUAGUAGUAGGAAUCGGUGGAUCAAUCAGAGUGUGGCUUGAGUAGUAA
rnacentral:lncRNA from 1 species